rnacentral:rRNA from 1 species
AACGCUAGCUACAGGCUUAACACAUGCAAGUCGAGGGGCAUCAGGGUAGCAAUACCGCUGGCGACCGGCGCACGGGUGAGUAACACGUAUCCAACCUACCGUUAACUCGGGGAUAGCCUUUCGAAAGAAAGAUUAAUACCCGAUAGUAUAUUUUCUUCGCAUGUUGAAAAUAUUAAAGAAUUUCGGUUAUCGAUGGGGAUGCGUUCCAUUAGGCAGUUGGCGGGGUAACGGCCCACCAAACCUACGAUGGAUAGGGGUUCUGAGAGGAAGGUCCCCCACAUUGGAACUGAGACACGGUCCAAACUCCUACGGGAGGCAGCAGUGAGGAAUAUUGGUCAAUGGACGAGAGUCUGAACCAGCCAAGUAGCGUGAAGGAUGACUGCCCUAUGGGUUGUAAACUUCUUUUAUAUGGGAAUAAAGUUCUCCACGUGUGGAGUUUUGUAUGUACCAUUAUGAAUAAGCAUCGGCUAACUCCGUGCCAGCAGCCGCGGUAAUACGGAGGAUGCGAGCGUUAUCCGGAUUUAUUGGGUUUAAAGGGAGCGUAGGUGGACUGGUAAGUCAGUUGUGAAAGUUUGCGGCUCAACCGUAAAAUUGCAGUUGAUACUGUCAGUCUUGAGUACAGUAGAGGUGGGCGGAAUUCGUGGUGUAGCGGUGAAAUGCUUAGAUAUCACGAAGAACUCCGAUUG